rnacentral:tRNA from 1 species
GGCCUCGUAGCUCAGCUGGUAGAGCAUGCGCGUACAAAGCGUAGGCGGUGUCCAUGGGUUCGAAUCCCACCGAGGCUA